rnacentral:rRNA from 1 species
CCCGCACAAGCGGUGGAGCAUGUGGUUUAAUUCGAAGCAACGCGAAGAACCUUACCAGGUCUUGACAUCCCCUGACAACCCGAGAGAUCGGGCGUUCCCCUUCGGGGGGACAGGGUGACAGGUGGUGCAUGGUUGUCGUCAGCUCGUGUCGUGAGAUGUUGGGUUAAGUCCCGCAACGAGCGCAACCCUCGUCCUAUGUUGCCAGCGGGUCAUGCCGGGGACUCAUGGGAGACUGCCGGGGUCAACUCGGAGGAAGGUGGGGAUGACGUCAAAUCAUCAUGCCCCUUAUGGGUAGGGCUUCCACACGUCAUACAAUGGUCGGUACAGAGGGUUGCCAGCCCGCGAGGGGGAGCUAAUCCCACAAAGCCGAUCGUAGUCCGGAUCGCAGUCUGCAACUCGACUGCGUGAAGUCGGAAUCGCUAGUAAUCGUGGAUCAGCAUGUCACGGUGAAUACGUUCCCGGGUCUU